UACGGAAGGCAGCAGUGGGGAAUAUUGCACAAUGGGCGAAAGCCUGAUGCAGCUAUGCCGCGUGUAUGAAGAAGGCCUUAGGGUUGUAAAGUACUUUCAUCGGGGAGGAAAAACAAAACUAAUAAUUUUAUUUCUUGACGUUACCCGAAAAAGAAGCACCGGCUAACUCCGUGCCAGCAGCCGCGGUAAUACGGAGGGUGCUAGCGUUAAUCAGAAUUACUGGGCGUAAAGAGCACGUAGGUGGUUUUUUUAAGUCAGAUGUGAAAUCCCCGGGCUUAACCUGGAACUGCAUUUUGAAACUGAAAUACUAGAGUAUCGUAGAGGGAGGUAGAAUUCUAGGUGUAGCGGUGAAAUGCGUAGAUAUCUGGAGGAAUACCUGUGGCGAAAGCGGCCUCCUAAACGAAUACUGACACUGAGGGUGCGAAAGCGUGGGGAGCAAACAGGGAUUAGAUACC
rnacentral:rRNA from 1 species